rnacentral:rRNA from 1 species
UCCAGACUCCUACGGGAGGCAGCAGUCGGGAAUAUUGCGCAAUGGAGGAAACUCUGACGCAGUGACGCCGCGUAUAGGAAGAAGGUUUUCGGAUUGUAAACUAUUGUCGUUAGGGAAGAGAAAGGACAGUACCUAAGGAGGAAGCUCCGGCUAACUACGUGCCAGCAGCCGCGGUAAUACGUAGGGAGCAAGCGUUAUCCGGAAUUAUUGGGUGUAAAGGGUGCGUAGACGGGAAAACAAGUUAGUUGUGAAAUCCCUCGGCUUAACUGAGGAACUGCAACUAAAACUAUUUUUCUUGAGUGCAGGAGAGGUAAGUGGAAUUCCUAGUGUAGCGGUGAAAUGCGUAGAUAUCAGGAGGAACACCGGUGGCGAAGGCGGCCUGCUGGACUGCGACUGACGUUGAGGCCCGAAAGCGUGGGGAGCAAACAGGAUUAGAUACCCCAGUAA